rnacentral:rRNA from 1 species
AGUGAACGCUGGCGGUAGGCCUAACACAUGCAAGUCGAACGGAAGCACAGUAAGAGCUUGCUCUUACGGGUGGCGAGUGGCGGACGGGUGAGGAAUACAUCGGAAUCUACUUUUUCGUGGGGGAUAACGUAGGGAAACUUACGCUAAUACCGCAUACGACCUACGGGUGAAAGCAGGGGAUCUUCGGACCUUGCGCGAUUGAAUGAGCCGAUGUCGGAUUAGCUAGUUGGCGGGGUAAAGGCCCACCAAGGCGACGCUCCGUAGCUGGUCUGAGAGGAUGAUCGGCCACACUGGAACUGAGACACGGUCCAGACUCCUACGGGAGGCAGCAGUGGGGAAUAUUGGACAAUGGGCGCAAGCCUGAUCCAGCCAUACCGCGUGGGUGAAGAAGGCCUUCGGGUUGUAAAGCCCUUUUGUUGGGAAAGAAAAGCAGCAGGUUAAUACCCCGCUGUUCUGACGGUACCCAAAGAAUAAGCACCGGCUAACUUCGUG